rnacentral:rRNA from 1 species
GUCCACGCUGUAAACGAUGAAUACUAGCCGAUGGGUGUUGAAAGACACAUAGUGGCGCAGCAAACGCGAUAAGUAUUCCGCCUGGGGAGUACGGCCGCAAGGUUAAAACUCAAAGGAAUUGACGGGGGCCCCGCACAAGCGGUGGAGCAUGUGGUUUAAUUCGAUGCAACGCGCAGAACCUUACCUACCCUUGACAUCCUCGGAACACAGCAGAGAUGUUGUGGUGCCUUCGGGAACCGAGAGACAGGUGCUGCAUGGCUGUCGU